CUCCCCGCGAGUCUUCCCCUGGUGAAUGCAAGCGAGCCAGCUGCUGCCUGAACUCCGGUGCGCCGGGUUUUCAGAGCUGCCACAAGCGCGAGGAGGGAGGGGGGCACACAGCAGCCACAGAGCACUGGGUUCAUAACUAGGAUUGGUCGCAAGUAGGGAGCUUUUGCCACUCCGCUGGGACCCUGGGACGCUGGCGGCAUCGUGCGCUGGGUUCUCCUAAGAGCUGCUUUGGGUGCCUCGGAUUCAUUUGGCAUUGUAGAAUUUUCUAACUGAGGAAAUUCCGCUAGAGCUCACUUGGGAAUUUCUGCAGUUUGGUGUCAGAGAAUCAAAUUCUUCAGACUGAGCUAAAGGAAACACUCCAUGUGGGUUCUGAUUGAAAACAAAGGGGAUUAUUGACACAUAGUAUCUCCACAGCAUGUGGCUCUCAGAGCUGCCCUAAAAGAGUCCUCAUCCAGUGGCUGAUGAGAGCAGAGACAGACAUCCACAGAAAUACACUGAGCUGAAAUCUGGAACUCAGUUGAAGAGAGGGAGGAAUGAAGAACGAAGGGUAAAUUGAUUGACAGAACCUGACUAAAUCAAGAGACCAAAGAUAAACAGGAGAGUUUGUUUAUAUGGUGGAUUUUCAUAUAUUGAACCAACCCUGUAUCUCUGGGAUGAAGACUACUUGAUCAUGGUGGAUGAUUUUUUUUAUAUAAUCUUGGAUUCAGUUUGCCAGUAUUUUACUGAGCAUUUUUCAUCAAUGUUCAUGAGGAAAAUUGGUGACAACAGAAAUUAGAUCUGCACAUUCAUUUCUUCAGAAAAGUUAGACUGAAGAAGAAAAAAAAAAAAGAUGCAAGCUGCUUCCUGCUGUGAGACAGCUUUAGUCUCCUGAAUUUUUGGUGCAGUUGUUAUAAAACAGAGGAAAAUCGAUCAUGUGUUCUUUGGAGAGAAACAACUCAAACUCAUCAUGUCCUUCAAAAGCAUCAUAAAAUUCUGUGAAUCAGCAGCUCAUUUUACGCAUAAUAGUAUUCAUUGUAUUUACUGUCAACACUGGUUUAAUUUUUACCUUGUUGUUGUUUAUCAGCUCAAUUCAUGUUUCCUGUGUUGUUGCAACUUCUUGGCCUUUCUGGGGGUGGGGGUGAUACUCGGGAGUUUCAUAUAUUUUCAGAACCAUUCUUACGAGCUUGGGGAGAUUCUUCAGUGGAUAAAGCCUUUGCGUAUGUAUGAGAACCUGUCUUCUGACUACAUGGAACCCACAUCAAUGCCAGGGAGGUGGGUGGCCCACCUAUAAUUUCCACCUCAGAAGAAAGAGGCAGGAAUUUCCCAGAGCAAGCUGUCUAACAAGACUAUAUUUGACUGAAAGACAGUAAGUUCAUCACCAAAUAAAGGGAAAGAUGUAUAGAAGAAGAGUUUCAAUGUCAACCCUGUGUCUCCACAUGCAUGUGUGUGUGCCUAUAGACAACUAUGUCC
rnacentral:lncRNA from 1 species